GCAAAAGACAACUGUGGUUUCAAAUGUGAGAAAGAAGCAUCAUGAUUUUGAAAAUAUAAUGGGAAAAACAAAUUUUCCCCACUCUAUGGUUGAUCUGAAUAGUAAAAAAGCUACCUGUGGUUAAUUUAGGUUGCAUGCUGAGUUUAUUUUUGUGCAAUGGUGAAAUGGUAGAAGCCAGUUUUAAAAAUUCUUUUUAAGAAAACAGAUUUCAUUUGUUUUAUAAUACCUACAUCAUGUGAACUUAGAGUUAUUUUUAGUUUUGAUUUGCCUCUGUUUAAUCUUAAACCAGUUUCCCUUGUUUUUUAAAGUGGAAAAUCUUACCCAUUAUUCAAGUGAUGCAUAAUACCUUAUAUAUAGCAAGCCCUCAGUAACAGCAGAUGGUUGAGGGGCAAAGAUGAUGCAUGGCUUGUUUGAGGUCACAAAGUUAGAACUAAAAAAAAAUAUGCUGAAUUAUUUUUCCAGUGUCUUUUCUUUCCAUGAAUUCAAACUGUUCCCUUCCUCCAAGCCUGAGCUGAAGUCCUCCAUUAUCUUUGAAGCCAUCUCCAAUUUCCCCCAUUUCUGUGACCCUUUAGUAUCAGUACCAUGUGACUUACCAGAUAUUCAUGUGAUACUUUGUAAAUUUGCUAAUAUUUAUGCCACUUGAAAUAAUGACUUCCUUAAUUUGCUUAUAAACUCUUGAGGUCAGGGACUAUAUCUUUUAUCUGUAAUAUAGUGACACCCACGCCCCUUCUCCUAAAAAAACUAGAUCAGUGUUAGAUUCCAGAAAGCUAUCCGGGAAAUUUUAAAUUUAUUUAUUUAUUCUAAUUUGUUAUACAUGACAGCAGAAUACAUUUCAAUUCAUAGAACAUAUAUAGAACUCAAUUUUUCAUGUCUCUGAUUAUACACAAAGUAGAGUCACACCAUUCGUGUCUUCAUACAUGUUCCUAGGGUAAUGAUGUCCAUCUCAUUCUACCCUCUUUCCUACCCCCAUGCCCAUCCUCUCUUCUUCUCCCUCCUCUUUGCCCUAUCUAAAGUUCCUCCAUUCCUCCCAUGUUCUCUCAUCCCCCACCCCCAUUAUGGAUCAGCAUCCACAUAUCAGAGAAAAUAUUUGGUCUUGGGUUUUUUGGGAUUGGCUAACUUCACUUAGCAUGAUAUUCUCCAACUCGAUCCAUUUCCCUGCAAAUAUCAUGAUUUUUUUCUCUUUUAAUGCUGAGUAAUAUUCCAUUGUAUAUAUAUACCACAGUUUCUUUGUCCAUUCAUCUAUAAAAGGGCAUCUAGGUUGGUCCCAUAAUUUAGCUAUUGUGCAUUGUGCUGUUAUAAACAUUGAUGUGGCUGCAUCACUUGUAGUAUGCUGUUUUUAAGUCCUUUGAGUAUAAACCAAGGAGUGGGAUAGCUGGGUCAAAUGGUGGUGUAAUUCCAAGUUUUCCAAGGAAUCUCCAUACUGCUUUCUAGAUUGGCUGCACAAAUUUGCAGUCCCACCUGCAAUGUAUGAGUGUGCCUUUUCCCCCACAUCCUCGCCAAGACUUAUUGUUGUUUGUAUUCUUAAUAGCUUCCAUUCUGACUAGAUCGAGAUGAAAUCUUAAUGUAGUUUUCAUUUGCAUUUAUCUAAUUGGUAAAGAUGUUGGACAUUUUUUCAUGUAUUUGUUGAUUGAUUGUUUAUCAUCUUGUGAGAAGUGUCUGUUCAGUUCCUUGGCCCAUUUAUUGAUUGUUAUGAUCUGAUUGUUCCCUAUUUUGUAAGAUGUUUUUCUACUGCUACUGCCAACAUGACCCUGUCUAUACACUUAUGUUUAGACUUUAAGUCUUAAGUUUACAUCUCUUUAAGUAUGUUAAUUAAAUGUGUCCCCAUUGGAUAAACAACUCAAUUGAUUUAAUCCUGCAAAAUAGCCUUGUUAAAAUAAGUACUUUGAUUUAUGUUUCGGAAUUUAAAGGUAUUCCAGAUGCAUAAGAUGUAUAGGAGCAGAAAGGAAGAAUGAGAAUUUAUUUGAGGCAACUCCUUGUAGUAAUGUUAAUUUAUCAC
rnacentral:lncRNA from 1 species